GAUUAAGCCAUGCAUGUGUAAGUAUAACUAAUUGACUUUGAAACUGCGAAUGGCUCAUUAUAUCAGUUAUAGUUUAUUUGAUGAAGAAUACUAAUUGGAUAACCGUAGUAAUUCUAGAGCUAAUACAUGUAUAAAGUCUUGUAGACUGCAUUUAUUAGAAUGAAAACCAUAGGUUUCGGCCUAUUCGUGAGUAAUAAUAACUAAUCAUAUCGUAUGCUUAUGUAACGAUGUGUCUUUCAAGUUUCUGCCCUAUCAGCUUUCGAUGGUAGUGUAUUGGACUACCAUG
rnacentral:rRNA from 1 species